UGUUAUGGCUAAGCUAUAAUCGUAAUUUUUAUUUAUAACCUACCGAGUACAUCUUGCGUUCAUCAGUACUUGACUAUGUCUUCGAAGAUAUUGCCCUUCAAGUCUACACAACUGUAUAUCCGCAGAAAUAGCAAGUAACUUUACAUGGCACUGUAGUCAGCUAAAAGGGAAAGGCACGCAAGAUAUUUCAUGCAGUACAAUCAAGCGACGAUCUCCUGGCAUUCUGUUUACCUGAUUUCACUCGGUCCGCACUGAUCUCAAGAUUUCGAAAAAUCUCUAGAUAUAAUUUACCAUGCCAACUGCAAGACAAUUCCUUUGUUAUGGUCCCGUUGUUGAUGUCUAUCUUUACCCUCUUGGUUCUGUCUGGCGUAGUUGCUCAGUAAAUCGAUAAUCAAUUAACAAACGAUUUUCGACUGCUGUCGGAAAUCGGUGACAAUCGACAAACUUAUGGUGUUGAUUACUAGUCAGGUCGGGAAAAUUAAGAACCGAGUCUCAAUUUAGAAGGACAUCAUGUUUUAUAACACGAUAUCUUCGUGCUUCGGGUAUCCUUUUCUUCACUGGGACUUCGUCUAUGAUAAAAGUUACGACUUCCACUGCGAGGUCAAGGGGGUGUCUUUAGUUGGUCUUGUGUGAAUUCGUAACGACGUUAUUUGAGAAUUACCUUUGGUUCAGUUUCAUUUUAGGUUCAGUCUGUCUUCUUUAUUGCAAAUCUAAGCCGUUCUUACUGCUCUUUAGACGAUAAAGAAGAUGACACUUUUCACAUCCAUACUGAUUCCCACAAUUUUCCUAGCAGGAUUUUCUACUUACGCCAUUGCUGCAGUCUCGUCCUGUACAGGAAAUCUGUGUAACGCUACGAUGUGCGAUUCGAAUCCAUGCAAAAAUGGUGCAACGUGUUUGGAUCAUAACAGCAGUUUUUCUUGUGUGUGCAAACCUGACCUGACAGGACGAUUAUGCGAACUGCAUCACAACCGUUGUGACUCUACUCCAUGUCAAAAUGGCGGAACAUGUACAAACGGGAUCGAUGCCUUCACAUGCACCUGUGCUCGUGGAUUUACUGGUGAGACUUGUGGAAAACGGACUGGGGAUUGUCCUGAUCCACCAAGCAUAGUCAAUGGAACAGUCAGGUUACGAAAUUCAUACGGUUUUUACACGUGUAAUAGAGGUUACAAGACACUGAUCAUGAUUGGAAGUCGCAUUAUCAGGUGUGUCAAUGGCAAGUGGAAUGGAAAGCCUCCCACGUGUCAAUCAGGAGUAAGACGCUCAGUAUGUAAAAGACCCGACGGUAUAAGGCAGGGUUACUUUGAGCCUCAAAAAGAUGAAUUCACUGUUGGUUCAAUUGUCAAGUACGUUUGUAACGGCAAGUACCGUCUCAGAGGCAAUGCUGAGCUGAUGUGCACUAAAGAUGGAAAGUGGUCGCCGACAAAGCUACCCCGUUGUACAAAAAAAACGAAAUGCAAAGAUCCAGGUAGCCCGAAAAAUGGUCGCCGUGAUGGAAGUUUGUUUCUAGAAGGAACUCAAGUUCGUUUCUCCUGUAAUGAAGGAUAUGAACUUGUCGGCCUUGGUGCACUCAGAUGCGUUCCUAAGUGUCGUGCGUGUAAGACCGUACAAUGGAAUGGCACUACACCGACCUGCCGGAAAAUAGAUCCUUUGAGAAGUCUGAAGAAGGUUGCAGAAAACCUGCGUAAACAUUUCAUCGACAAACUGAGUUGGACGACAACUGACAGCUUGGCUCGGGCAGGUUUAUCCUCCGGUGCUGGUGGCCUCGAUCUGGUGUUUGUGCUCGACAGCUCGGCAAGCGUCGGAAAUAAGAACUUCCAAAAAGGAAUCGCUUUCGCCAAAACGAUCAUCGACGAGUUUGGAAUAUCCAACUCUGCAAUGGGGACAAGAGUUGCUGUUGUUACAUUCAGCUCGACAGCCAAAGUUAUUUUCAAUCUGAAAACAAAUGCCAUGCCCAACAAAAACGAGGCUAUUGCAACUCUUGAAAACUUGAACUUUAUUGCCGGAGGAACCGCUACACGUCUUGCACUGAAUAAGACCAUUGAAGAAAUUGUGCCUGAGACCCGCGAGCGCAGCAAGAAAGCGCUGUUCCUAAUCACAGACGGCAGAUCCAAUAUCGGCGGUGACCCCGCCUCUGAUGCCAUGAUAUUGCGUGACAGCUGUGAUUUCGAGAUCUAUACUAUUGGCGUGACAGACAGUGUGGAUGAACAGGAGCUGCGAAGCAUUGCUUCCGAACCCUUCAGGACACAUGUCUUCCUUCUUAAAAACUUUGAAGAUCUGACCAAGCUUAAAGAGCUGAUAACUGCCAAAGGAAUUGAUUACAGUGAAUGUGGUAUAGCUGGAGACACUCAGAUGAGAAAUGGAGACAGACAGAACUUCCGAAUCGUAGGCGGCCGUGAAGCUAAACCAGGAGCCUGGCCUUGGCAAGCUGCUGUCUACGUAAAAAGCAACUUCCGGUGUGGCGGUGUGCUCAUUAAAGAGAACUGGGUACUAACUGUGGCUCAUUGCUUUUUUUACGAUGGAAAGGUGGAGCCAAGAGACGUGAUGGUUGUAAUGGGUGAGCACGAACGAUUCGUAGAAGAGGGAAGAGAGCAGAAUAUACGAGCCAACAAGCUCAUCUUUCAUCCAAAUGCAAGCUUGGCAAGUCUAGGGGAUGACCUGGCCCUGAUUCGCUUGAAGCAUGGGGUGAAGUUCUCACCUUUUGUCAGAACAGUGUGUCUACCUCAACCAACGGAUGUGUUCUACGUUAGACCGGGCAAGUCAUGUGUUAUAGCAGGGUGGGGGUCUUCUAGACGGGUUUCUCCGGAUGAUCUGGCAGGGCCUCCAAACGCCGUGCUUCAGCAGAUUCAAAUCAAGUUCGCAUCUCACAAGGAUUGCCGGGAAAAUGCCACCAAUGCUGCCGCAAUCAACGAAAAAGUCGUCUGCGCGGGAAACUCUAGUGGAGAGAAGGAUGCCUGCAAAGGAGACAGUGGUUCACCUCUCGUGGUCAGACGUUCUGCAGAUGACAGCUGGGCUGUGGUUGGUUUAUCGAGCUGGGGAGAGGGUUGUGCAACUCAAGGAAAGUACGGUGUGUACACACAACUGAAAAAUUACAUGCGCUGGAUUCAACGAAGAAUCAGACCGAAGAAAAAAGAUAAAGAUAAGAACAAAGAUUAACGUGUGGUGCAAUCCGAUCUCCUUUGUAGUGCUGUAGAAUGUAUUUGAUUGUAUAUCCAAAGAAAAAGAGACCGCGAUAAACCCUGGACGGAUGAGGAAAAUGACUGUUGGGUGCACAGGGGUACAUUCGACUUUCUAUUAGCUAAAAAUUAUUUUACAUUUUGUAUCUUUAAAAUGCUAUAUUAACAUUUUAACAUAUGAACAAUGCAUGCAGUCAGAUGCCAUCUUAAUUUAACCCGUUUGUCAAAGGUAGGCUUGUUUUGAGGUGCGUUGCUUUUUCAACGCACAGGCAGCAUUUUCGAGGCCUUUACCGUGAAUUAUUCUCUAUAAUUUCACGUGACCGGAAGCGAAUUUCAGUUUACCAUCUGGCUAAUUAAGAAGUCUAAGUACUAGGCAAGAUGUUUUGAAUAAUUUUGUUCGAUAAAUAUAUAACGAGCCCUCGUGGCAUGUAAAGAAGCGAUUGGCUACUAUCAAAUAGGAAGCAGUGAGAUGUCUGCAUCGUAACCACGUCAUUGAGAGUCUGAAAGGUACCCUACACAGGAGCAGCAUUGUAAUGCUUACAAUAUUUGUUUUUUUUUUUUAUAAAUUAAACUCAAAGUACAGUAAUGUGCUAUGUCUUGAAUGAACUUUUCCGGAUCACAAUUCCCUUAGCUUUACUCAGCUACAUGUUUUAAAUGGUGGCAAAUAGAGUGCAAAGUUAUCUUUGAUGUUUAACUGCUCCAGCUAUGCUUCGCCUAAAGAAGAACUAAUAUGCAGUGAUGAUGAUGAUGAUGAUGGUGAUGAUGAUGAUGAUGAUGACGCUGAGGACGAUCGAUGAUGAUAAAGAAGAAGCAGUACACCGUAACAGAGCAAUCAGUUUCAACGGACCAGACUUACAACACCAUCGACUGACAAACACAUUCACUUGACUCUGAAGAUGACUUCCGCUUAGGUUGUCGAAACGUCAGUCACUCACAACAGUUCUUUAAAGAACUACCCUCACACAGACGAUUACACCAUACAAACUGCAACUUAACAGUGAGAUGAGAUUGUUUUAUUCAAAUUUUGUUCGAAAUCCUUUCCUCUGAGCGGCCCUUCGAUUGUCUGUGGUGUACCAGACCACACGAGGUCAAGCAAGUUCCGUUAUGGAGAACGCCAAUUACCUACACUCAAAUUACAACAGUCGAGAUUCUCUUCAUUAUCCUGUGACGUUUUACUUCGAUUGAUUUGGAGGUUACCCUUUAUCCGUGUUCUUGUGUACUACAGAUUUGUCACCUGCGCUCUAUGACCUGUAUCCCGACUCUUCCAGCUAGCUUACACUAGAAUCCAAAGUCAA
rnacentral:misc_RNA from 1 species